CAGCCAUGCCGCGUGAAUGAUGAAGGUCUUAGGAUUGUAAAAUUCUUUCACCGGGGACGAUAAUGACGGUACCCGGAGAAGAAGCCCCGGCUAACUUCGUGCCAGCAGCCGCGGUAAUACGAAGGGGGCUAGCGUUGCUCGGAAUUACUGGGCGUAAAGGGCGCGUAGGCGGAUCGUUAAGUCAGAGGUGAAAUCCCAGGGCUCAACCCUGGAACUGCCUUUGAUACUGGCGAUCUUGAGUAUGAGAGAGGUAUGUGGAACUCCGAGUGUAGAGGUGAAAUUCGUAGAUAUUCGGAAGAACACCAGUGGCGAAGGCGACAUACUGGCUCAUUACUGACGCUGAGGCGCGAAAGCGUGGGGAGCAAACAGGAUUAGAUACCCUGGUAGUCCACGCCGUAAACGAUGAUUGCUAGUUGUCGGGCUGCAUGCAGUUCGGUGACGCAGCUAACGCAUUAAGCAAUCCGCC
rnacentral:rRNA from 1 species